rnacentral:rRNA from 1 species
GACGAACGCUGGCGGCGUGCCUAAUACAUGCAAGUAGAACGCACAGUUUAUACCGUAGCUUGCUCCACCAUAGACUGUGAGUUGCGAACGGGUGAGUAACGCGUAGGUAACCUGCCUGGUAGCGGGGGAUAACUAUUGGAAACGAUAGCUAAUACCGCAUAAUAUUAAUUAUUGCAUGAUAAUUAAUUGAAAGGUGCAAUUGCACCACUACCAGAUGGACCUGCGUUGUAUUAGCUAGUAGGUGAGGUAACGGCUCACCUAGGGGACGAUACAUAGCCGACCUGAGAGGGUGAUCGGCCAAACUGGGACUGAGACACGGCCCAGAAUACUACGGGAGGCAGCAGUAGGGAAUCUUCGGAAAUGGACGAAAGGCUGAACGAGCAACGCCGCGUGAGUGAAGAAGGGUUUCGGAUCGGAAAGCUCUGUUGUAAGAGAAGAACGGGUGUGAGAGUGGAAAGUUCACACUGUGACGGUAUCUUACCAGAAAGGGACGGCUAACUACGUG